AGCGAACGCUGGCGGCAGGCUUAACACAUGCAAGUCGAGCGGGCGUAGCAAUACGUCAGCGGCAGACGGGUGAGUAACGCGUGGGAACGUACCUUUUGGUUCGGAACAACCCAGGGAAACUUGGGCUAAUACCGGAUAAGCCCUUACGGGGAAAGAUUUAUCGCCGAAAGAUCGGCCCGCGUCUGAUUAGCUAGUUGGUGAGGUAACGGCUCACCAAGGCGACGAUCAGUAGCUGGUCUGAGAGGAUGAUCAGCCACAUUGGGACUGAGACACGGCCCAAACUCCUACGGGAGGCAGCAGUGGGGAAUAUUGGACAAUGGGCGCAAGCCUGAUCCAGCCAUGCCGCGUGAGUGAUGAAGGCCCUAGGGUUGUAAAGCUCUUUUGUGCGGGAAGAUAAUGACGGUACCGCAAGAAUAAGCCCCGCUAACUUCGUGCCAGCCGCCGCGGUAAU
rnacentral:rRNA from 1 species